GGAGGGGCUUGGACCACGCUGGCUGGAGCGUGUGGACACAUCUCAUUGGUUGUGGGCACGGCACAUCCAGGGGAAGCGGCGGGCCUGAGGUGGCUGCGGCCAGUGAAGGAGGGGAGGCUGGGACAAAGCGCCAGGGCGGAGACGCCUGAGCCAGCUGGGAAGGAGAGAGAGAGGCACACUUUGACAGGAAGCCCCUGAGGGCAGGCUCACCUGGACCCCCGCUGGCACAACAGAUGCUCAAAGACGGGUGACAGAAGCCGGCCCGCCACCCUCCAUUUGGACAGCAAGGCCCCGAGAGGGGUUCACCUGGGAGGUGUCAAUGGAUAAAGGCAGAGAGCCGGGCAUUUUGCUCUGGAGGAACGACAGCAAGGCCGGGUCUGCCCCUGCUCUGUGCCCUCUGCGUGAGCUCCUCCACUUGCUCUGGCCCCUAGAAUCCUCCUGAACCCAUCUGACAGAUGACGAACCUGAGACAAAGAUGGCUCACAGGACCACACAGCCAGGAGGGGUCCCAGUUGAGACUGAAAAGCAAAACUGAGCCAGAGCUUCCUGAACCUGUCCUUGGAGACGGUCUCAGCCCCUGAAGAGUCUUUGCCCAGGAGCUCUGGAACCUGUUCCGGUGGCUUCCAUCCUAGAACCAUGCCUGUCCUGGCCCACAGCCUCGCCCUGUGCACCCUCUGGCACGGCCUAACACCCCAGAAGGUCUACACAGCAGAUGCCUCGGCCCCCACCCUCACCCCACUCACCCUGUGACACCCUGAGCUCCAGCCUUGCUCCCCACCCCACCCAGGGUCCAAAUAGCCUCCCAUCACUGAAUUCAUCAGAUUCCAGGGUGAGAACAUUUAUGACCCUUUUUUUUUUUUUUUUUAACCUGCUGGUGUUUCUAAAUUUUCCAAACCCAAACUGUCUUGUGUAAGAAUUUAUAAAAGCUGUGCAAAAUAAAUACUCUA